rnacentral:lncRNA from 10 species
UCCGAGGCUCUUUGUGCUUGAAUCGGCCCCUUGCUGGCUUCAGCCUCUUCCCAGCCUGCCACCCUCCCUGGGUGCUCUCCGGAUCCCCAGGCGCCAGUGUCUCCCAUGCUGCCUCCAGCUGCCCCCUGCCUCCUGAGCUGCCAACUUGGGUGCCUCACAGGAAUCCCCAAACUGCCCUGAAGCCUGACCUCUCUCAGUGCUCCCUGUCUUGGUGUAGGGCAUCGCCUGCCAGUCAGUUAUUUCUAAGCCAGAAAUCUGUGCGUGGCCUAACAGCCCCUCUGCCCUCCACACCAGUGACCACCUCCUAGGAGUGGCUUCCUCAACACCUUGCCACCCUUGACACUGUCACUGUCACCUGUGCCCUGGCAGGCCGCCUGCUCCCCAAGUAGCUCCCUACUGCACUCCCCUGCCCCUCUCAGCCCUUCUUGCAAAGUGCCUCUGGGCCAGGUGCAGGGGCUCACGCCUAUAAUCCCAGCACUUUGGGAGGCUAAGGCAGGUGGAUCACUUGAGGUCAG